CUCUUUCUUGUGGACAUUGAUCUUGUAACUAUUUACUUUUCCUUUUGUUUUGUGAUGGGAACACGAGAACCUUUAUCUGCUACAAACUAUUACAACACUAUUGGCAUGUUGACAAAUAAGUAAAUAUACUAACACUAACACUAACAAGCAACAAGUUACAACAUUCCCUGCCCUAACACAUGACCUAUAUUGACCUAUAUUUUUCUUUUUCCUUUUAAUUUUUUAAUUUGUUCAUUUUUUUACUUUGAUUCCAUUAAUUUAAACCCUCUUUACUUUCUCCAAUUCAAUUCUGUUGAAUCUUUCACAUAUUCCU
rnacentral:lncRNA from 1 species